rnacentral:lncRNA from 1 species
CCCCAGCUGCAGAGUCUUUCUUAUCGCUGGAGAGGCAAGCACAGCGCAGAGAGAGUGCUGGGGACGCAGCAGGAAAGGCAGCAGGCACCCAAUGUCCGACACCAAUACACAGAGGGGUGUGGAUGCGCUCGAAGGACAGGUGCCGAGGACAGAGUGAGAAGAGGAGAGGGUGACACGUCACCACGUGGGGACAAAAGAGACCCGCGCCUGGGCAGGAACGCCCAGCGGGCUGUUUCAAGACUGGCGGGUGUGGACGCCCUGGGUGUUGGUGGCAGCUGGCAAGCGAGGAGGUCAGAGGCCGAGCUGGAGCGAGGCCAGACCCCCGAGGGGCACUGCCGUUUUCAUGAGGACGAGGCCUUCGUGGGAAUCAGGAAACAGCUUCCAAAAGACGCUUUCUCCCUCAGCUGAAAAACGGAUGUCAUGAUUCACGAAUCGACCGAGCCCGUGGUCGUGCCACAGACCCCUGCCGCCCGGCCAGACGCUCUCCCUCCGCUUCUACCACCUGACUGCUUGCGU